GUUGUAUUAUGCAAUGUUGGGGUUGUAGGACUACGUUGUUGUACUUGAAUUGCGAGAAGAAUAUUCUGGAAAGUUUAGCCAUAGCAGGUGAAAGCCCUUUAUUCGAAGCAUGCCAAGACAUAGUAGUAUCCUGAGUAGCGCGGGACACGUGUAAUCCUGUGUGAAUCUGCCGGGCCCAUCCGGUAAGGCUAAAUACUCCCAUGAGACCGAUAGCGUACCAGUACCGUGAGGGAAAGGUGAAAAGAACUUCGAUAAGAAGAGUGAAAUAGAUCCUGAACCCAUGCGCCUACAAGCGGUCGGAGCAUUAUAUGAUGUGACGGCGUGCCUUUUGCAUAAUGAACCUACGAGUUACCGUCACUGGCAAGGUUAAUCCUCUUAAGUGGAGCAACCGCAGUGAAAGCGAGCCUUAACAGGGCGUUAAGUCAGUGGUGGUAGACGCGAAACCAAGUGAUCUACACUUGUCCAGGAUGAAGUUCCGGUAACACGGAAUGGAGGUCCGAACCAAUAAGCGUUGAAAAGCUUCUGGAUGAGGUGAGUGUAGGAGUGAAAGGCCAAUCAAACUUGGAGAUAGCUCGUACUCCCCGAAAGGCAUUUAGGUGCCGCGUACGAUGAUUAACGUAAGAGGUAGAGCGACCGAUAGGUCAAGAGGGCUUCACCGCCUAUCGAGACCUGACGAACUCCGAAUGCUUACGCUUUGCAGUCGUGCAGUAAGGGGGCGGGUGCUAAGGUCCGUCCCCGAGAGGAGAAGAAUCCAGACCGUCGUUUAAGGUCCCCAAAUUCUGUCUAAGUUAGUCUAACGAAGUCUGGUCCCCAUGACAGCCAGGAUGUUGGCUUGGAAGCAGCCAUUCAUUUAAAGAGUGCGUAACAGCUCACUGGUCGAGGGUCCGGGCAUGGAUAAUAAUCGGGUAUAAGGCAGAUACCGAAGGCGCGGGAUAGUAUUUAAAAAAGUAUCGGUAGGGGAGCAUUCCAUCGACGUUGAAUGAUAUAGGACAACUAUAUCUGGAGUUUAUGGAAAAGCAAAUGUAGGUAUAAGUAACGAUAAGGAGGGUAAGAUUCCCUCCCGCCGUAAGACCAAGGUUUCCCGGGCAAUGUCAAUCACCCCGGGGUUAGUCGGGUCCUAAGUCUCAGCCGAAUGGCGAUGGCGAUGGUAGAAACGGUUAAUAUUCCGUUACUGCUUUAAUGAGUGAUGGGCAGACGAAGAAGUGACACCACCGCGAGGCGACGGAAGUCCUCGUUAAAGAGUGUAGGAGUUGAUGAUUGCAGGUAAAUCCACAAUCAGAUCCGAACUUGAUAGUAUGGUUUUCUCCUCGGAGCGAACCAAUAGUGUGGGUAAUCCUGCUUCCAAGAAAAUGCUCUAAACAUAUUGUUAAAGCACCCGUACCGUAAACGGACACACGUAGUCGGGUAGAAUAUACUAAGGCGUUGAGAGAUUCAUGGUUAAGGAACUAGGCAAAUUGACCCCGUAACUUCGGGAUAAGGGGAACGGCGGCCGUAACUAUAACGGUCCUAAGGUAGCGAAAUUCCUUGUCGGGUAAGUUCCGACCUGCACGAAUGGUGUAAUGAUCUGGACGCUGUCUCAAUCAUGAUCUCAGUGAAAUUGUAGUAUCGGUGAAGAUGCCGAUUACCCGCGAUGGGACGAAAAGACCCCGUGAACCUUUACUGCAGCUUAGCAUUGACCUUGGUCAUCCGAUGUGUAGGAUAGGCCGGAGGCUUUGAAGGGGGCGCGCCAGCGCUCUUGGAGCCACCCUUGAAAUACGGCCCUUUGGCUGUCCGAGGUCUAACCCGCAGAUGUGGGGACACUGCUUGGUGGGCAGUUUGACUGGGGUGGUCGCCUCCAAAAGCGUAACGGAGGCUUCCAAAGGUACCCUCAGGCCGAUUGGUAACCGGCCUCUUAGAGUGCAAUGGCAUAAGGGUGCUUGACUGGGAGGCAGACAUGCCGAGCAGGCAGGAAACUGGGGCAUAGUGAUCCGGUGCAAGUGUAUGGAAACUGCAUCGCUCAAAGGAUAAAAGGUA
rnacentral:rRNA from 1 species